CUGCAGUGUCACAAGGGCCCCUUGGUUCUGUGGAGCCCACAGGGUCCGUUUUGCCAGUGGGCAGGAUCAGCACCAAAGACACAGAUACCAAAUGAAGGAAUUGUGUAAUUUAUAUAAGGGAAAUCUGCAAAAAAUACAAAAGUAAAGUACAUAAUUAUUUGAAAAUAAUUACAAUAGGAGCAGGUCAGCAAUGCACUCAAUGAUCACCACCAAAGAUUGCCUGCAGUGAUUAAGAAAGAUGCAGCACCAGUUCCCCUCAGGCUUUGCCAUCCCCCAGAUCCACACAGCAGCAGGGGAAGCUGUCCCAGCCAAGGACUGCAGAGCCACUCCUGGACACUGGGAAUUCCUGAAGGUGCCUCCAGCCACAGGAACUUUGUCUCCAUCCACUGUGUGCAGGAGUUCAGACUGGGCAGAAAGAGCUCGAUUGAUGGACCCUCAGGUAUUGACCAUCCAGGUGGUUUUUGCUAAGUUCAAUUCCCAAUUCUGAAGGUUCUCCCAUCAAGUGCCUUCAGGGUAGUCUUAAGUAGUCGUUACAUUGUUCAACUUUCCCAGCAGCUAGUGCAUGAUAGGGGAUACGAUAUAUCCAUUAAAUACCAUGUUCCCUGGCCCAAGUGUUGAUAAGACUAUUCUUGAAAUGGGUCCUGUUGUCCAACUAAUUUCUCUCACGGGUGCCAUGUCUCCACAGGACCUGCUUUUCUAGGCCCAGGAUGGUGUUCUGGGCAGUAGCAUGAGGCAAGGGGUAGGUUUCCAACCGUCCUGUGGUUGCUUCCACCAUGGUCAACACGAAGUGUUUCCUUUGGCGGGUUUGGGGAAGCGUGAUGUAAUCAAUUUGCCAAGCUUCCCCAUACCUGUACUUCAGCCAUCACCCCUGCAGCAUCCCAGGUGCAGAGCAGCCAGGUCAGGAUGGACUCGUUCAUCUGGUGGGUGAAUUCCCUCCACAGGUCACGCAGCUCACCCAGGGACAAAGAACAAGUAAUGAUUUUGGGCUCUGUCUCUUCUGCUGGGUGUGAGGGUCCUGCUGCAUCCUCAUCAGUCACUAUGUGGACUGAUUUGCUCUUUGAUUUUGUCUUCUGAAUGGGGGCAGCUGCUACUGGUUCAGGCUGUUCUGGUUUGGUGAUGGUCUGUGUGGAGACGUUGAUGGCGCUUUUGGUUUCUUCCUCCUCUGUGACAGUCUGCAUAGACAUGGAUGACUGUUGUUUUGCAUUUGGUUCUUUCUUCCUCUGUGGCAUUCUGUGCAGACACAGGCACUGCUGAUUUGCUUCUCUUUUCCUCGUCCUCAAGAAGACGCUGCUCUAUACCAUGUAGUGCUUUGUUUCUAAGCAUGUUGCAGGCUGUGCAGAGAAGACAAAGCAGAACUAACAACAACACUAUGCUGCCUUGGCAUCCAGAGAGAAAA